UCGGGAAUAUUGCGCAAUGGAGGAAACUCUGACGCAGUGACGCCGCGUAUAGGAAGAAGGUUUUCGGAUUGUAAACUAUUGUCGUUAGGGAAGAAAAAAGACAGUACCUAAGGAGGAAGCUCCGGCUAACUACGUGCCAGCAGCCGCGGUAAUACGUAGGGAGCAAGCGUUAUCCGGAUUUAUUGGGUGUAAAGGGUGCGUAGACGGGCGAUCAAGUUAGUUGUGAAAUCCCUCGGCUCAACUGAGGAACUGCAACUAAAACUGGUUGUCUUGAGUGCAGGAGAGGUAAGUGGAAUUCCUAGUGUAGCGGUGAAAAUGCGUAGAUAUUAGGAGGAACACCAGUGGCGAAGACGACUUACUGGACUGUAACUGACGUUGAGGCUCGAAAAGCGUGGGCAGCAAAACAGGAUUAGAUACC
rnacentral:rRNA from 1 species